GGAUGUGAGGGCGAUCUGGCUGCGACAUCUGUCACCCCAUUGAUCGCCAGGGUUGAUUCGACUGAUCUGGCUGGCUAGGCGGGUGUCCCCUUCCUCCCUCACCGCUCCAUGUGCAUCCCUCCCGAAGCUGCGCGCUCAGUCGAAGAGGACGACCAUCCCCGUUAGAGGAGGACCGGUCUUCGGUCAAGGGUAUACGAGUAGCUGCGCUCCCCUGCUAGAACCUCCAAACAAGCUCUCAAGAUUCAUUUUCAAUUAUCUUUAUAUACAGAAGAUCAACUUAGUAUAUACUAAGCAAAGAUUUCAACAGAUGCACCCACACAACCGUACAAGUUAUAGAGUACUGU
rnacentral:snRNA from 1 species